rnacentral:rRNA from 1 species
UACGUAGGGCGCAAGCGUUGUCCGGAAUUAUUGGGCGUAAAGAGCUCGUAGGCGGCUUGUCACGUCGGGUGUGAAAGCCCGGGGCUUAACCCCGGGUCUGCAUUCGAUACGGGCAGGCUAGAGUGUGGUAGGGGGAGAUCGGAAUUCCUGGUGUAGCGGUGAAAAUGCGCAGAUAUCAGGAGGAACACCGGUGGCGAAGGCGGAUCUCUGGGCCAUUACUGACGCUGAGGAGCGAAAAGCGUGGGGGAGC